UACAGAGACUGCAAGCGUUAUUCGGAUUCACUGGGCGUAAAGGGUGCGCAGGCGGUUGGGUGUGUCAGAUGUGAAAUCCCGAGGCUUAACCUCGGAACUGCGUCUGAAACUACUCGACUAGAGUACUGGAGAGGGAAACGGAAUUCACGGUGUAGCAGUGAAAUGCGUAGAUAUCGUGAGGAACACCAGAGGCGAAGGCGGUUUCCUGGACAGUUACUGACGCUCAGGCACGAAAGCAUGGGGAGCAAAAAGGG
rnacentral:rRNA from 1 species